rnacentral:misc_RNA from 1 species
GAUGAAGAACGUAGCGAAAUGCGAUAAGUAGUGUGAAUUGCAGAAUUCCGUGAAUCAUCGAAUCUUUGAACGCACAUUGCGCCCCUUGGUAUCCCGAGGGGCAUGCCUGUUCGAGCGUCAUUUCACCACUCAAGCCUGGCUUGGUGUUGGGCGACGUCCCCUUUGGGGACGCGCCUCGAAACGCUCGGCGGCGUGGCACCGGCUUUAAGCGUAGCAGAAUCUUUCGCUUUGGAAGUCGGGGCCCCGUCUGCCGGAAGACCUACUCGCAAGGUUGACCUCGGAUCAGGCAGGGAUACCCGCUGAACUUAAGCAUAUCAAUAAGCGGAGGA